AAUCUGCUCCAGGCCUUUACAGCUCAGGGGUGUUUUAUUUUUUUUGUCUCAGUAGUGGAAGCUGGAAGCCGUCUUAACUCGCUGUUCUUAUAUAGUACUGCCAUUACUAUGAUCUUUCAAGAGCCACCAAAAGCUCGACAUAUAUUCUUAAGACUCACAACCAGUGAAUUAAAUAUUUUUGCUGACUUAAAUUACAGAUUCUACUCAAGUGUUUAACUCUCAAGUCUUCUUGACUCAUCUGGUUAAAAAUAGUGGAUCUAUGGCUGUAGAUCCAAUUAAUGAAAGAACCAUAAACAUCUUUAUUCAGUAACGCUUUAUUUUACAGGUGCAUUAUUUUAAGUUUGUUUAAAUUCUUGAAAGUUUCCUGAAAAUAACUGUGUAGUUUGGUCAUUAAACAGUUUAAUGAAGCGGUAGAUUUAUGUUGCAGUUUGACUAAAAGUCCAAAAGGUGGCGCUAAGCUCCUGCGUGGAGCGUCUUAGUCAGGAGAAGGGAAGGGAGGGGGAGAGACGAGGAAGACAGCGAGUCCUGAGCGGUAGUGACAAAAGUUAUGUCUUUUAAGUUCAAUGUUGAAGUUAUCCGGCAGGAAGUUACCUUGGCCCGAGAACUGUUGUGUUACCAGAGGAUUCAGGAGGAGCGCGAUCUAAUGUGUUUAUAACGAUCUCUGCGAGCCUGGAGGUCGUCCAGUCACCACUAUGGCUGCAGUAGAGGAGCAACUCGUGGAUUUGGAUGCACCAGCUUCUCCACUCGGAUUCCAGAUAAGAUCCAUCACAAUAGAAACAUUGCACCAUAAAUGAAGUGAAAGAGAAAAAAACACUCACUGACUGCACUGACUGACUGAAAAAACAACUUUUGACUUGACUGAACUAAACUCAGAUUUCCCUCAAGAAAGGAUCCAACUAUACAAUAGAAGAGGAAAUAAGUAAGGACUUAAAAACAUUGAGCUCAGGAAUUUAAAUACCCGGGUACAGAAGUUACUUUGCUUUGUUUUAUUUCAAUGUGUGAAUCGAACAGAGCUCUGAAUUAAGGGACAUUUUGAGUUCAUUUGUUUUAUUUUAAAGGCCUUGCUUUGUUAUUAAGCCCAUUCUCACGUGAGUGUUGUUUUUGUAUUCUGUGAAAACAAAAACUAUUGCAAAGA